GRGCUCGUAGGCGGUUUGUCACGUCWGGAGUGAAAACUCGGGGCUCAACCCCGARYCUGCUUCUGAUACGGGCAGACUAGAGGUAUGCAGGGGAGAACGGAAUUCCUGGUGUAGCGGUGAAAUGCGCAGAUAUCAGGAGGAACACCGGUGGCGAAGGCGGKUCUCUGGGCAUUACCUGACGCUGAGGAGCGAAAGUGUGGGGAGCGAACAGGAUUAGAUACCCUGGUAGUCCACACCGUAAACGUUGGGCGCUAGGUGUGGGACUCAUUCCACGAGUUCCGYGCCGCAGCUAACGCAU
rnacentral:rRNA from 1 species